rnacentral:lncRNA from 1 species
CCCUCUUCAUAUCCAAGGAGUUGGACGUCCAUCUGGCAAAGGUUCAAGGUAUGGUGGCGCUUGGAACAGGAAGGCCGCAGGACAUCUUCGACAGGCUACUGCUCCAACUUCAGAAGGAGUUCUGAAGUACUUUCAAAUUAGAUAGAGAUCUAAUUUUUUGAGCAUAGAUUUAUGAGGAGAAGAUGUUCUAGGUCCUGCCUGAGUGGAUACUGGUAGAGGUCAGGCGCUUGCGUGGCUACAUCAGAAUCUCGGGCUGUACUGAGAUCAUCUACAGGGUAAUCAGAUUACCCUUGAGGUAUGUCUAUACUUCUCAUACUUUUAGAUUUAAUUUUAAAAUUUAAAUAUCAGAUCAUAAAAUUAGAUCUAACAAACAUUAGAUUUGAAAUAGCGUAGGAUAAAAUUUUUAAAUUAUUCCAUCCCAGAUUUGAUGAAAUCUGAAAGAUCCUACAAAGGAAAAAGAUGGUUUUUUCCUUCACUGUAUUUUAUCUAUCAUCUGUUUAGGUACUAUUUAUAGGUUUGAGCUCCUUUACUCAAUUGUAAUUAUUUUGUUGUCAUACUCUUGGGUUUCGGACUGUUAGAUAUAUGG